rnacentral:rRNA from 1 species
CUUUGGGAAGGAACACCGGGCCCCCCCACUUCCUACGGGGAGGCAGCAGUGGGGAAUAUUGCACAAUGGGCGAAAGCCUGAUGCAGCGACGCCGCGUGAGGGAUGACGGCCUUCGGGUUGUAAACCUCUUUCAGCAGGGAAGAAGCGAAAGUGACGGUACCUGCAGAAGAAGCGCCGGCUAACUACGUGCCAGCAGCCGCGGUAAUACGUAGGGCGCAAGCGUUGUCCGGAAUUAUUGGGCGUAAAGAGCUCGUAGGCGGCUUGUCACGUCGGUUGUGAAAGCCCGGGGCUUAACCCCGGGUCUGCAGUCGAUACGGGCAGGCUAGAGUUCGGUAGGGGAGAUCGGAAUUCCUGGUGUAGCGGUGAAAUGCGCAGAUAUCAGGAGGAACACCGGUGGCGAAGGCGGAUCUCUGGGCCGAUACUGACGCUGAGGAGCGAAAGCGUGGGGAGCGAACAGGAUUAGGAUACCCUGGGUAGUCCAC